CAGUCGCCGCGGGAAUACGAAGGGGGCUAGCGUUGUUCGGAUUUACUGGGCGUAAAGGGCGCGUAGGCGGACUGAUAAGUCAGGGGUGAAAUCCCAAGGCUCAACCUUGGAACUGCCUUUGAUACUGUUUGUCUUGAGUUCGAGAGAGGUAAGUGGAACUGCGAGUGUAGAGGUGAAAUUCGUAGAUAUUCGCAAGAACACCAGUGGCGAAGGCGGCUUACUGGCUCGAAACUGACGCUGAGGCGCGAAAGCGUGGGGAGCAAACAGGAUUAGAUACCCGAGUAGUCCCUGUCUCUUAUAC
rnacentral:rRNA from 1 species